rnacentral:tRNA from 1 species
GUAAAUAUAGUUUAUCCAAAA